UUUUUUUUUUUUGAGAAACAAGCAUUUGUGUUUAUUAAACAAGGGGAGGUAAGUCAAAGCAGUGCAGAUUCCUAACCAGCCCCCAACAUUGUCUACCCACCUAGGCCAGCUGCCAAGGACUAGGAAGAGCAGUGGAUAGGCCCCUCCCCACUGCCAUGACCCCAGGGUGAGUUCUGCUGGGUAAGGAAGAGGACGUCAGCAAAGGACAGAGGCCAAGGAAGGAAGGAAGGAUACAGAGCCACUGGCGAGACAGGAUGGAGGCGAUCCCUUGGCCCUUACUCUCAGUGGGGAAGGCAAAGCACCCCAAAUACAGCCCCACAAGAGGAACUAAUCAGGAAUAACAUGUCAAAAACCUUGUAUUGGGGUGGAAGGAGGGUUUCUUGGCUGUCCAAAGUCAAGAGCAAAACCCUCCGGGGUCAGUCCUUGCCCAAAAAUGCUGGUCCAGCCUCUAAGCCUUUGCCUCCAUACCAAGUUCACGCCAGGGUGGAGCCUCUGACAUGCAGAUCCGGAGAAUGGAUGCAAGAGAGGUCCAGGGGCCACUUGCCUCUGUGAGAUCUGUCCUGUGAUAAUUGCUUGCUGUGCUUGCAAGACCCCAACAAUAAGAGCAACUGGAAUGUGUUUAGGGAGUGCUGGAAACAAGGGCAGCCAGUGAUGGUGUCUGGAGUGCAUCAUAAAUUGAAUUCUGAACUUUGGAAACCUGAAUCCUUUAGGAAAGAGUUUGGUGAGCAGGAAGUAGACCUAGUUAAUUGUAGGACCAAUGAAAUCACCACAGGAGCCACAGUAGGAGACUUCUGGGAUGGAUUUGAAGACGUUCCAAAUCGUUUGAAAAAUGAAAAAGAACCAAUGGUGUUGAAACUUAAGGACUGGCCACCAGGGGAAGAUUUUAGAGAUAUGAUGCCUUCCAGGUUUGAUGAUCUGAUGGCCAACAUUCCAUUGCCAGAGUACACAAGGCGAGAUGGCAAACUGAACUUGGCCUCUAGGCUGCCAAGCUACUUUGUUCGGCCAGAUCUGGGUCCCAAGAUGUAUAAUGCUUAUGGAUUAAUCACUCCUGAAGAUCGGGAAUACGGAACAAUAAAUCUUCACUUAGAUGUAUCUGAUGCAGCUAAUGUCAUGGUCUAUGUGGGAAUUCCCAAAGGACAGUGUGAGGAAGAAGUCCUUAAGACCAUCCAAGAUGGAGAUUCUGACGAACUCAAAAUAAAGCGCUUUAUUGAAGGAAAAGAGAAGCCAGGAGCACUGUGGCACAUAUAUGCUGCAAAGGACAUGGAGAAGAUAAGGAAAUUUCAUUAAAAAGGUAUCAGAAGAGCAAGGUCAAGAAAACCCAGCAGACCAUGAUCCUAUUCAUGAUCAAAGCUGGUAUUUAGGCCGAUCAUUAAGAAAGCGUCUUCAUCAAGAGUAUGGAGUUCAAGGCUGGGCUAUUGUACAGUUUCUUGGCGAUGUGGUGUUUAUCCCAGCAGGAGCUCCACAUCAGGUUCAUAACUUGUAUAGCUGCAUCAAAGCGGCUGAAGAUUUUGUUUCUCCAGAGCAUGUUAAAUACUACUUCUGGCUUACUCAGGAAUUCCGAUAUCUGCCACAGACUCAUACCAAUCAUGAAGAUAAAUUACAGGUGAAGAAUGUUAUCUACCAUGCAGUGAAAGAUGCAGUUGCUAUGCUGAAAGCCAGUGAAUCCAGUUUUGGCAAACCUUAAUCUCCCUGCACAUUGGAAAUGAAUUACAGGCAGCUGUUCAAACUCUUCAGGCAGGAUUCCUGUGGACUUUGAGAUUCAUGUUACCUCAUCUUCUUUUUUUAAAAUGUACCUGACUUGUGAGGGUACUCUGUCUAACGUAUAUUUCUAAUGUUUACAGACAGUAAAUGUGUAUAUGUAGUAACUAUUUACUGAACAUGCAUCCUUAAACUGACUUCUCACCUAGUAUAGAACUUUUACCAGGGUGUAAAAACAAAACCUCUUAUCGGCUCUGGAACAAUACCUGCAGUUAUUCCCCAUCUAUUUGGACAACUUAGUCAAAUUGGGUUUAUAACUAUUAGGAAUCGCUGCACAGUUUAUUCGGGUUGUACUUUGUUUUGCGUCUGAGUCCCCUCUCCCUCAUCCCUUAGGGUCCAAAAGAGCAAUGCAGGAAGUGACAGUUAAUGUUGCAGUUCUUAUUGUAUGGCAUAGGACUGGCAUUAUACAGCAGAAAUCAACUACUGCACAAUUUAUUGGGGUUAACCAUCUUUAGUUAAAUGGAAUUUUAAUUUAAAUGAAGCUUUGCUAAUUUUAAGUGGUAAGCAUUUUGCAUUAAAAUAUUCACAUAAUUUAAAAAAAUAAA